rnacentral:rRNA from 1 species
UACGAAGGGGGGCUAGCGUUGCUCGGAAUUACUGGGCGUAAAGCGCACGUAGGCGGCUUCUUAAGUCGGGUGUGAAAUCUUGGAGCUUAACUCCGAAACUGCAUUCGAUACUCGCCGUGCUUUGAGGACUGGAGAGGAGACUGGAAUUUACGGUGUAGCGGUGAAAUGCGUAGAUAUCGUAAGGAAGACCAGUGGCGAAGGCGGGUCUCUGGACAGUUCCUGACGCUGAGGCACGAAGGCCAGGGGAGCAAACGGG